rnacentral:snoRNA from 1 species
UGCUUCUGAUGUUACACCAUAUUUGCUACUCUUGACUGUUGUGUGAUGAUUCUCUAUCCACCAAGAUCUCUGAAGCG